GGAUUAGAUACCCUGGUAGUCCAUGCUGUAAACGAUGUCUACUAACUGUUGUGUCCCUUGCGGGCUCAGUAGUGAAGCUAACGCGCUAAGUAGACCGCCUGGGGAGUACGACCGCAAGGUUAAAACUCAAAUGAAUUGACGGGGGCCCGCACAAGCGGUGGAGCAUGUGGUUUAAUUCGAUGCAACGCGAACAACCUUACCAGGUCUUGACAUCCUGCGAAGGCACCAGAGACGGUGCUGUGCCGAGAGGAAUGCAGAGACAGGUGCUGCAUGGCUGUCGUCAGCUCGUGCUG
rnacentral:rRNA from 1 species